UAAUUUUCCUCUUGGUAUAUUAAUGGAUGAAUGAAUAUCUUGAAAGUUUAUUGAGGAAGGGGAACACAAGACAGAGAGAGAGAGAGAGAGAGAGAGAGAGCA